rnacentral:rRNA from 1 species
UUACGGGACGCUCCAGUGGGGAAUAUUGCACAAUGGGGGGAACCCUGAUGCAGCAACGCCGCGUGGAGGAUGACGCAUUUCGGUGUGUAAACUCCUUUUAUAUGUCAAGAAAAUGACGGUAGCAUAUGAAUAAGCACCGGCUAACUCCGUGCCAGCAGCCGCGGUAAUACGGAGGGUGCAAGCGUUACUCGGAAUCACUGGGCGUAAAGGACGCGUAGGCGGGUUGGAAAGUCAGGUGUGAAAUCCUACAGCUUAACUGUAGAACUGCACUUGAAACUUCUAAUCUAGAGUAUGGGAGGGGGAGAUGGAAUUAGUGGUGUAGGGGUAAAUCCGUAGAUAUCACUAGGAAUACCUAAAGCGAAGGCGAUCUCCUGGAACAUUACUGACGCUAAGGCGUGAAAGCGUGGGGAGCAAACAGGAUUAGAUACCCGAGUAGUC